UAUCGGAUUACCAACUGAUCCCGAAAUCGUACAAAUUUCACUAAUGCCCGGGCAAAACGUUAAAUGUCCACGAUACUUAGGUUUUUUUCCCGGCAAAUCUAUGUAUAGUAUAGUGACUAACAUCAAUUGGAUAAAACUUUAAUGUUCAAAUGUCCAUACAUUUCAAUUUUUCAUAUUUCUGAGAUUUGCCGGAUUUCGGCUUUUAAUCGUAAUAUAUACUGGGUGAUCCAUUUAAGUAGAUACACUCAUUAUCUCGGAAAGUAUUAACUUUUUCCGGAAUUUGUUUUUUUACAACAUUUGAGA